rnacentral:SRP_RNA from 1 species
UCGGUCCCCCCGCAACGAUUACCCGUCAACCUGGUCAGGUCCGGAAGGAAGCAGCCACAGCGGGAACAUCGUGUGCCGGGGUGUGGCUGGC